rnacentral:rRNA from 1 species
CCUUACCUGGGCUCGAAAUGCAGUGGACCGGGGUAGAAAUAUCCCUUUCCGCAAGGACUGCUGCAUAGGUGCUGCAUGGCUGUCGUCAGCUCGUGUCGUGAGAUGUUGGGAAAAAAAACCGCAACGAGCGCAACCCUUAUCCCUAGUUGCCAUCAGGUCAAGCUGGGCACUCUAGUGAAACCGCCCCGGAUAACGGGGAGGAAGGUGGGGAUGACGUCAAGUCCUCAUGGCCUUUAUGUCCAGGGCUACACACGUGCUACAAUGGUCGGUACAAACCGUCGCAAACCUGCAAAGGGGAGCUAAUCGGAAAAAGCCGGCCUCAGUUCGGAUUGAAGUUCCUCAUUUUGGAUUCAUGAAGCUGGAAUCGCUAGUAAUCGCA